AUAGCUGAUGCAAGUGCAACACAUGGAAGUGCAAAGAGAACACUGAAACUAAUUCAGAACACCAAGCCACCUACACUUCUCAUGGCUAAUAAUGAUGAUGAUGCCAAGAACACAAACUCAGAGAAAUCAACCAAACCAAGGUAAGCUGCUGCUGAAUCCAAGGCAGGAAGAGAGGAGAGGCAGCAGCUGGAGCUGGCCAAUGAGAGGAAGCUUUCGUGACACAAAGAAAGCCCUUGUGCCACUCUGCGCAGCAUUCAACACGAAACACUGUUCAUGAUGUACCAUUGCACAACGGCUGCCCCUAUAAAACAUCACCAGAGCAUUGAUCAUAUGGACCCUUUCAGAUAUAGUCAAGCUGUGAACUGGAGCAGCAACCAUUGGGAACAGAACUCAGCAAAGCAAGCAAAGAAAACAUGAACCUAGGAAAAAAAAAACAAUGAGGACAGGCAAAGGCAGCUGUGUAACUGUCCCUAGAUCUCUUCAACCUUUAUGCUGUGGUAGCCAGUGUAUAGUGUACUAACUGACUUCCACAACUGCUACUGGUUUCUUGGUUAAAUUGCUCUUGUAGAAGCAACAGUUUUUUUCAGUUUGAGUGAUGUUUUUUUUUGUCUAUGCACAGAAAAGAAUCAAAGGAUGCCAAUGACUGUCUAAUCAAACUUUUUUUUCCUCUGCCAUGUACUGAAGUAGGAGUACUAUAUUACCUGGUAUACAACCGUUUAUAGCAGCCUACUAGAUUUCCAAACAAUGCUAGUUCUAACAUCCGUGGUUAAUUAAAGAUAUUUGUGGAAUUGAAUCUUUGUACAGACAAUGCAGUUUAAGGCUAUCCCCAAAUGCAGAUGGCAAAUGAACAUUUGAGGGAACAUGAUUUGAUUA